AACGAACGCUGGCGGCAGGCUUAACACAUGCAAGUCGAGCGAGACCUUCGGGUCUAGCGGCGGACGGGUGAGUAACGCGUGGGAACGUGCCCUUCUCUACGGAAUAGCCCCGGGAAACUGGGAGUAAUACCGUAUACGCCCUUUGGGGGAAAGAUUUAUCGGAGAAGGAUCGGCCCGCGUUGGAUUAGGUAGUUGGUGGGGUAAUGGCCCACCAAGCCGACGAUCCAUAGCUGGUUUGAGAGGAUGAUCAGCCACACUGGGACUGAGACACGGCCCAGACUCCUACGGGAGGCAGCAGUGGGGAAAUCUUAGACAAUGGGGGCAACCCUGAUCUAGCCAUGCCGCGUGAGUGAUGAAGGCCUUAGGGUUGUAAAGCUCUUUCAGCUGGGAAGAUAAUGACGGUACCAGCAGAAGAAGCCCCGGCUAACUCCGUG
rnacentral:rRNA from 1 species